rnacentral:rRNA from 1 species
AACAGUGAUGUGGAGCAAAUCCCUAAAAGACCGUCUCAGUUCAGAUUGCAGGCUGCAACCCGCCCUGCAUGAAGUCGGAAUUGCUAGUAAUCGCGGAUCAGCAUGCCGCGGUGAAUACGUUCCCGGGCCUUGCACACACCGCCCGUCACACCAUGAGAGUCGGGAACACCCGAAGUCCGUAGCCUAACAGCAAUGAGGGCGCGGCCGAAGGUGGGUUCGAUAAUUGGGGUGAAGUCGUAACAAGGUAAC